UGACUCUGGGGACUCUGUUCUUGACCACUGCUUGAUAAAACCAGGUGACAGUAGGCAGCACAGCUGGGCAAAGGUUAUUCUUUCAUCAUUUACUGAGUGCCUGACAUGGACUAGGCCAUAAAAAUCCGUACAAGACACAGAUCUUCUUGAGGCUCAGAGUCUUUUGAAGGCGACAAAUGUACUCUCUUGCCCUUCUGCCAUGGGAUAAUGGAACACAAGGCCCUCGCUGGAUGCUGGUGCCAUGCUCUUGCUCUUCCCAGCCUCCAGAACCAUGAACCAAAUAAAUUUCUUUUCUUUAUUAA